UAAAACUCCAAAAUUUAUGUAAAAUUUUACUUUUUAUGGUAUUUGUUCUUACAAUAUGGUUCUAGAAUAUAUUAUUACAAAUAUGAUAUAUAUAAAAAAAUCAAUAAAAAAUUAAUUAUUUUCUAUUUAAAACAUCAUUAAUUAAAUAUCCUUUAAAUUGAUAUCAAUAAUUAAACAAUUAGUAUGUUAUCUAAAUAUUUAGUUAUUAAAAAUUUUCUUAUAUAAUAAAUUCUUCAAAAUAUCAAUUAUUAGCAUUCUAAGCAUUAAAUGUAUUAUGUUAUUUAUUUUUUAAAUCACAAUCAUUUAAUAGAAUUUUUAAUAUUUUAGUAAAAAGUACUU
rnacentral:lncRNA from 1 species